CCCUUAGAUGUUCUGGGCUGCACGCGCGCUACACUGAUGCGAUCAACAAGUUUUUCCUAUGUCGAUAGACACGGGUAAUCUUUUGAACUCGCAUCGUGAUGGGGAUAGAUUAUUGUAAUUAUUAAUCUUCAACGAGGAAUUCCUAGUAGGUGCAAAUCAUCAGUUUGCAUCGAUUACGUCCCUGCCCUUUGUACACACCGCUCGUCGCUGCUACCGAUUGGUUGAUCUGGUGAAUUAUUCGGACUGCCGGCUGAAGGGGUUUCCUCAUCUGCCAGCGGAAAGUCUUGUUAACCCUAUCAACUAGAGGAAGCAGAAGUCGUAACA
rnacentral:rRNA from 1 species